AGUGAAAUUGCUGGGUCAUAUGGUAACUCUAUGUUUAACUUUUUGAGGAAUUGCCAAACUGUUUUCCAAAAUGGUUGCACCAUUUUACCUUCCCACCAGCAGU
rnacentral:pre_miRNA from 1 species